rnacentral:rRNA from 1 species
UACGUAGGGGGCAAGCGUUGUCCGGAAUUAUUGGGCGUAAAGAGCGCGUAGGCGGUCCGGUAAGUCGGCUGUGAAAGUCAAGGGCUCAACCCUGGAAGGCCGGUGGAAACUGUCGGGCUAGAGUCCGGAAGAGGCGAGUGGAAUUCCCGGUGUAGCGGUGAAAUGCGCAGAUAUCGGGAGGAACACCAAUGGCGAAGGCAGCUCGCUGGGACGGUACUGACGCUGAGACGCGAAAGCGUGGGGAGCAAACAGG